ncrna:unclassified sequences pemK RNA
AUAAUGAUACUCCUGUCCGGCCAUAAAGUCGAGCGUUGAAACGGUGUGUGACCGUGAGCCGUCGCAACAAGUGGGGGCAGCUUCGUGAAAAAUGCGGAGGGGUGAGAUUCCCGUGA